rnacentral:rRNA from 1 species
UACGUAGGUGGCAAGCGUUGUCCGGAUUUACUGGGCGUAAAGGGCGUGCAGGCGGUCUGUUAAGUCUAGGGUGAAAGCUCCCGGCUCAACUGGGAGAGGUCCUUGGAUACUGGCGGACUUGAGGGAGGUAGAGGAAAGUGGAAUUCCCGGUGUAGUGGUGAUAUGCGUAGAUAUCGGGAGGAACACCAGUGGCGAAGGCGGUUGCCUGGAGCUUUGCUGACGCUGAUGCGCGAAAGCGUGGGGAGCGAUCCGG